rnacentral:rRNA from 1 species
CCCUUAGAUGAUUUGGGCUGCACGCGCGCUACACUGACCCUAACAAUGAGCAACUGUCUGGCCUGAGAUGGCUGGGUAGCCUUUUCAACCCAUGUCAUGAUUGGGCUAGAUUUUUGUAAGUCUUGAUCUCUAACGAGGAAUCCCUAGUAUGCGUGAAUCAUCAAUCCAUGCAGAUUAUGUCCCUGCCCUUUGUACACACCGCCCGUCACUCCUACUGAUUGGGUGAUCCGGUGAGCUGUUCGGCCAUAGCAAUGUUUCUUGAGCAGGGCAAUGAAUGUUUCGCAAACCUUGCCACUUAGAGGAAGGAGAAGUCGUAACA